rnacentral:tRNA from 1 species
GGAGCGGUAGCUCAGUUGGUUAGAAUACCGGCCUGUCACGCCGGGGGUCGCGGGUUCGAGUCCCGUCCGCUCCGCCA